CCGCACGGCGCGGGGUGCCGGGGCGCGACCGACCGGUCGCGCCCCGGCUGAGAGCACACCCGUCGAACCUGCCCUAGUUAGCACUAGCGAAGGAACGCCAUGAGCGCGUACA
rnacentral:ncRNA from 1 species